GUUGAAACACCGGUUCUGGUACGAUCACCGAAGUUAAGGAAUGUCGGGGCUGGUCAGUACCUAGAUGGGUAACCGCUUGUAAAUACCAGGUGAUGUAAG